GGUAAUGGCCUACCAAGUCUACGAUCUUUAGCUGGUUUGAGAGGAUGAUCAGGCACAAUGGGACUGAGACGGCCCAGACUCCUACGGGAGGCAGCAGUGGGNAAUCUUAGACAAUGGGNNAAACCCUGAUCUAGCCAUGCCGCGUGAGUGACGAAGGCCUUAGGGUCGUAAAGCUCUUUCGCUGGG
rnacentral:rRNA from 1 species